CACGUAGGGGGCAAGCGUUGUCCGGAUUCAUUGGGCGUAAAGAGCUCGUAGGCGGUUCGAUAAGUCGGGUGUGAAACCUCCAGGCUCAACCUGGAGACGCCACCCGAUACUGUCGUGACUAGAGUCCAGUAGGGGAGCGUGGAAUUCCUGGUGUAGCGGUGAAAUGCGCAGAUAUCAGGAGGAACACCAGCGGCGAAGGCGGCGCUCUGGGCUGGAACUGACGCUGAGGAGCGAAAGCGUGGGGGAGCGAACAGG
rnacentral:rRNA from 1 species